rnacentral:misc_RNA from 2 species
ACCAGUCGGCAAGUCCAUUCUCCGCAAAAAUACAGAAUAAUCCAACACGAAUAUGAUACUAAAACUUUUAAGAUGUUACAGUUAUCUACAUAGAUGUUUCAAAAUAUGAAUUUUACGGAACUUUUUUAAAGCAAAAAUCAAGUAAAAAUAAGCACAAAUAGACAAAAUAUAUUCACGAAACUUUUAAAAUCAACGGGUUAAAUUGAUGAAAUUCAUAGCACUGAAUGAUAAAAAAGAAUCUUCAUUCGCAACUAAAAUAGUGACCGCUAUCAUCAUUAACUUUAUUUAUUACCGUCAUUCACUUCUGAAUGUCUGUUUACCCCUAUUUCAACCGAAUGCUUCGCAUUCGGUUUUUUU